UACGAAGGGGGCUAGCGUUGCUCGGAAUUACUGGGCGUAAAGCGCACGUAGGCGGCUUUCUAAGUCGGGGGUGAAAUCCUGGAGCUCAACUCCAGAACUGCCUUCGAUACUGGAGAGCUCGAGUCCGGGAGAGGUGAGUGGAACUGCGAGUGUAGAGGUGAAAUUCGUAGAUAUUCGCAAGAACACCAGUGGCGAAGGCGGCUCACUGGCCCGGUACUGACGCUUAGGUGCGAAAGCGUGGGGAGCAAACAGG
rnacentral:rRNA from 1 species